UACGUAGGGCGCAAGCGUUUAUCCGGAAUUACUGGGCGUAAAGAGCUCGUAGGUGGUUUGUCGCGUUGUUCGUGAAAACUCGCAGCUCAACUGUGGGCGUGCGGGCGAUACGGGCAGACUAGAGUACUGCAGGGGAGACUGGAAUUCCUGGUGUAGCGGUGGAAUGCGCAGAUAUCAGGAGGAACACCGGUGGCGAAGGCGGGUCUCUGGGCAACAACUGACGCUGAGGCACGGAAAGCCAGGGUAGCGAACGGG
rnacentral:rRNA from 1 species